GGGGAAUAUUGCACAAUGGGCGCAAGCCUGAUGCAGCCAUGCCGCGUGUGUGAAGAAGGCCUUCGGGUUGUAAAGCACUUUCAGCGGGGAGGAAGGCGGUGAGGUUAAUAACCUUGUCGAUUGACGUUACCCGCAGAAGAAGCACCGGCUAACUCCGUGCCAGCAGCCGCGGUAAUACGGAGGGUGCAAGCGUUAAUCGGAAUUACUGGGCGUAAAGCGCACGCAGGCGGUCUGUAAAGUCGGAUGUGAAAUCCCCGGGCUCAACCUGGGAACUGCAUUCGAAGCUGGCAGGCUAGAGUCUUGUAGAGGGGGGUAGAAUUCCAGGUGUAGCGGUGAAAUGCGUAGAGAUCUGGAGGAAUACCGGUGGCGAAGGCGGCCCCUGGACAAAGACUGACGCUCAGGUGCGAAAGCGUGGGGAGCAAAC
rnacentral:rRNA from 1 species